AUGCUCACUUCGGCAGCACAUAGUCUAAAAUUGGAAUGAUACAGAGAAGAUUAACAUGGCCCUACACAAAGAGGACAUGCAAAUUCAUGAGGUGUCUCAUAUUUUA
rnacentral:snRNA from 1 species